GGGAAACAACCUUUUGAACGCAUUGAAGUAUCAAGGGAACAAGCCCUUGAGAGGUUUUGUGAUAAUAAAUUCAAGGUUGAAAUCAUCAAUGGUCUUCCAGCGGACAAAACUAUAACUGUAUAUAGAUGUGGCCCUUUGGUUGACUUUUGUCGUGGACCCCAUAUACCAAAUACAUCAUUUGUGAAAGCAUUUAAAUGUUUGAAGGCUUCUGCAGCCUACUGGAGGUGUAAAAAAAACGUUUGCAGGUGACUUUAUGU